rnacentral:lncRNA from 1 species
UAGUUCAUUUCAGGUCGGAACUUGCGCAUUCGGGCCGGACCUCAAGCCAUGGGCCUCUGCGAAGGCGCCGGCGUGCCCACGGCUAAGAAACUUCCUCUUUCUGCUCCCGGGAACGAAGGCUGUAGCAGAGAAGGCCUUCAAGUUUCGAGACCCAGUUCCAGCCGCAGCUGAGCACUGGUGACCUUGAAUUAAGUCUAAUGUUGGGAUUGGAAGACGCUUCAGACAUCCGCUGCCGCCCUGGGCAAGCGACCAGCUCAAGGUUACCCCACAGGGACGUGCUCUGGUCCCACGGUCCAGUGCUCUUUUGUCGGUUAGUUUUGUCAUUUGUAAAAUAGGAACAGUAGAUAGUGGUAGGAAAGUGGUUGUGAAAACUUAAUAGAAAGCUAAGCGCCUUGGUCGGGCGCAGUGGCAUGUCACCCCUGCAAUUCUAUCACUUUGGGAGGCUGAGGCGGGCGGAUCGUUUGAGCCCAGGAAUUCGAAACCAGUCUGGGCAAUAUGAAACCCCAUCUCUGCAAAUAAAGUACAAAAAAUUAAGAGUGGUGGCGCGCUUCUGUGGUCCCAGCUACUCUGGAGGCUGAGGUGGGAGGGUCACCAGAGCCCCGGACAUCGAGGCUGCAGUGAGCCACUAUGAGCGCGCCACUGCACCCCAUCCUGGCGACAGAGCGAGACGCAGUCUCGAACAAAAAAAAAAAAAGUGGGAAGGGGGGACAGCUAAGCGCCUUGGAGAGCAACCACCCUUAUUUGCCUAAUACCGAGCUUCGCACCCAGGGGGCACUCGACACCUACUGUAGUUUGGACGCCAAGGAACGAUAGGGUUAGGAGGGGGCUACUGUUCAACCACAAAGCUUGUGGAAAAGUUUGUUAGCCCAGACAAUCUCAGGGCAACACCUGGCAGGUGCUUUCCACCCCUGACCACAGUGGCCAAUGGGACAGAGCCUGAAAUAAAUAUUUCUAGUUUCUGAGGUGAGCUGAAGGCCAAAGAGCAGCUGUCCCUGCAGCUCAGACCAUCCAGUGAAGGAGUAAGGUGCUACUUUUUAAAGCCUUCUGCUACCUACAACCUCCUUAGCCUUUAAAACGUGUG